GCUCAACCGGGGAGGGUCAUUGGAAACUGGGGAACUUGAGUGCAGGAGAGGAGAGUGGAAUUCCACGUGUAGCGGUGAAAUGCGUAGAGAUGUGGAGGAACACCAGUGGCGAAGGCGACUCUCUGGUCUGUAACUGACGCUGAGGCGCGAAAGCGUGGGGAGCGAACAGGAUUAGAUACCCUGGUAGUCCACGCUGUAAACGAUGAGUGCUAAGUGUUAGAGGGUUUCCGCCCUUUAGUGCUGCAGCAAACGCAUUAAGCACUCCGCCUGGGGAGUACGGUCGCAAGACUGAAACUCAAAGGAAUUGGCGGGGGCCCGCACAAGCGGUGGAGCAUGUGGUUUAAUUCGAAGCAACGCGAAGAACCUUACCAGGUCUUGACAUCCUCUGACAACCCUAGAGAUAGGGCUUCCCCUUCGGGGGCAGAGUGACAGGUGGUGCAUGGUUGUCGUCAGCUCGUGUCGUGAGAUGUUGGGUUAAGUCCCGCAACGAGCGCAACCCUUGAUCUUAGUUGCCAGCAUUCAGUUGGGCACUCUAAGGUGACUGCCGGUGACAAACCGGAGGAAGGUGGGGAUGACGUCAAAUCAUCAUGCCCCUUAUGACCUGGGCUACACACGUGCUACAAUGGGCAGAACAAAG
rnacentral:rRNA from 1 species